rnacentral:lncRNA from 10 species
GUACGAACAGCAGUCUUGGUGGUUAGCAGCGCAAGACACCGAGUUAAAGAAGGAAGAGGUUUAUCGGCCGGUAGCAUCGGCAGGACUCCUGUCUCAAGAGCCGAGCUCCCCAGCACAAUUUUCACUCCUCUUUUUAACUAAAAACUGUCUCCUGGCUUCAGUUGCAAGGGAUCUUCAUGAGUGCGACACAAAAGAGAGUGGGAGAAAAGCAUGAACUACAGCCCAGAACAGAAUGACUAAUUCCUGGAGGACGAAUUUGCAUUCAGCUUGAAGGCCAAGAGGUUAGCAUUUCCAACACAAAACAAUUUCGAGUGGGCUCAAUGCUCCCAGUCUUGUCUUAUCCUGGAACCGUCUCUGAAUUCCCCUCUUUCCUUGUUGCUGUGCCUAUGUCCUACUCCAGAGAGAGCUGAUGGUGAGAUGGAACACAAGAUUUCAGAAUUACAUUUAGUUUGUAAGGAGCUCUGCUGUAUUUGUAUUUG